rnacentral:miRNA from 1 species
CGGCGGGGAAGGCGAUUGGUC